rnacentral:ncRNA from 1 species
AUUCUAGCUAGAAAUAUUAAUUAUAUCAUGAAUUUAUAUGGUAAUAUGUAAUUAAAUAUUUUUAUUCCAAUCUAUAGAAUUGUUUAUAUUAAAAUUAAUGAGUUAGUUAUUGAUAAUAAAAUAGAUUAAUAUUUGUGCCAGCAUUCGCGGUUAAACAAUUUAUUUAAAUUACUUUUUUAAGUUUAUAAUUUUAAUGAUUAUAUUUAGGCUUAACAAUUAAGGUAUUUAGGUGGAAUUUAUAUUUUAACAUAUUAUUCUUGUAAUUAUUUUUAAUAAGUUUUUUUUAUUAAACUAGGAUUAGAUACCCUAUUAUAAUUAAUUUGAUUUUAAACCUGAAUAGUAUUAGUUAAGUUCUUUAAAGCUCAAAGAAUUUGGCGGUGAAAUAUCUUCUUAGAGGAACCUGUAAAUUAAUUGAUAAACCACGAUAGUUUGUACUUUAAUAAUUAUUUGUAUACCGCUAUACUAAUGAAUGUUUUGAUAAAAAUUUUCUUUUACAUUAAAGAUAAAAAUUAGGUCAAGGUGCAGUUUUUUUAAGGUUUUUAUGGGUUACUUUAAUAAUAAAUUUAUUAAGUCGGUUAUUUAAUUAAAUAAUUUAAAUUAGGAUUUAAAAGUAAAAUUAAUUAAUUUAUUAAUUUGAAUUUUGAUUCUAUUUUAUGUACAUAUCGCCCGUCACUCCUGAUUUAAGUUAGGAUAAGUCGUAACAAAGUAAUUUUACCGGAAGGUGAAGUUAGAAUGAAAAU